GACGACCGCUGGCGGCGUGCUUAACACAUGCCAGUCGAACGGAAAGGCCCUGCUUUUGUGGGGUGCUCGAGUGGCGAACGGGUGAGUAACACGUGAGUAACCUGCCCUUGACUUUGGGAUAACUUCAGGAAACUGGGGCUAAUACCGGCUAGGAGCUCCUGCUGCAUGGUGGGGGUUGGAAAGUUUCGGCGGUUGGGGAUGGACUCGCGGCUUAUCAGCUUGUUGGUGGGGUAGUGGCUUACCAAGGCUUUGACGGGUAGCCGGCCUGAGAGGGUGACCGGCCACAUUGGGACUGAGAUACGGCCCAGCCUCCUACGGGAGGCAGCAGUGGGGAAUAUUGCACAAUGGGCGGAAGCCUGAUGCAGCAACGCCGCGUGCGGGAUGACGGCCUUCGGGUUGUAAACCGCUUUCGCCUGUGACGAAGCGUGAGUGACGGUAAUGGGUAAAGAAGCACCGGCUAACUACGUG
rnacentral:rRNA from 1 species